rnacentral:rRNA from 1 species
UACGUAGGGUGCGAGCGUUGUCCGGAAUUAUUGGGCGUAAAGAGCUCGUAGGCGGUGUGUCGCGUCGGCCGUGAAAACCUGCAGCUUAACUGUGGGCGUGCGGUCGAUACGGGCAUCACUGGAGUUCGGCAGGGGAGACUGGAAUUCCUGGUGUAGCGGUGAAAUGCGCAGAUAUCAGGAGGAACACCGGUGGCGAAGGCGGGUCUCUGGGCCGAUACUGACGCUGAUGCACGAAGGCCAGGGGAGCAAACGGG